rnacentral:sRNA from 1 species
GUCUGUCCAUAGUUGUUUGGGUCGACUUUGCCAUGCAUUAUAUGCCCCCUUUGCAUUUUGGCUUGU